UAUAUACUCCCUCCGUCCAGAAAUACUUGUCAUUAAAAUGGAUAUAUCUAGAUGUAUUUUAGUUCUAGGUACAUCCAUUUUAAUGAUAAAUAUUUCCGGACGGAGGGAGUAUAUA
rnacentral:pre_miRNA from 1 species